AUUGAACGCUGGCGGCAUGCCUUACACAUGCAAGUCGAACGGCAGCACGGGGCAACCUGGUGGCGAGUGGCGAACGGGUGAGUAAUGCAUCGGAACGUGCCAUUGAGUGGGGGAUAACGUAGCGAAAGUUGCGCUAAUACCGCAUAUUCUGUGAGCAGGAAAGCAGGGGACCGCAAGGCCUUGCGCUCUUUGAGCGGCCGAUGUCAGAUUAGCUAGUUGGUGAGGUAACGGCUUACCAAGGCGACGAUCUGUAGCGGGUCUGAGAGGAUGAUCCGCCACACUGGAACUGAGACACGGUCCAGACUCCUACGGGAGGCAGCAGUGGGGAAUUUUGGACAAUGGGCGCAAGCCUGAUCCAGCCAAUGCCGCGUGAGUGAAGAAGGCCUCGGUUGUAAAGG
rnacentral:rRNA from 1 species